rnacentral:rRNA from 1 species
GACGAACGCUGGCGGCGUGCUUAACACAUGCAAGUCGAACGGACCUUCGGGUUAGUGGCGAACGGGUGAGUAACACGUGGGUGAUCUGCCCUGCACUUUGGGAUAAGCCUGGGAAACUGGGUCUAAUACCAGAUAGGACUACGCACUGCAUGGUGUGUGGUGGAAAGCUUUUGCGGUGUGGGAUGGGCCCGCGGCCUAUCAGCUUGUUGGUGGGGUGAUGGCCUACCAAGGCGACGACGGGUAGCCGGCCUGAGAGGGUGACCGGCCACACUGGGACUGAGAUACGGCCCAGACUCCUACGGGAGGCAGCAGUGGGGAAUAUUGCACAAUGGGCGCAAGCCUGAUGCAGCGACGCCGCGUGAGGGAUGACGGCCUUCGGGUUGUAAACCUCUUUCGCCAGGGACGAAGCGCAAGUGACGGUACCUGGAGAAGAAGGACCGGCCAACUACGUGCCAGCAGCCGCCGUAAGAC